GGGCGGUUCCUGACGUGAUGGAUCCAUCAGAGUUGGCUCCAUGCCGGGGGUCGAAGUGUUUGGUUUCCAGAGGGACUCAUGGUAUAUGGCUUGUGUUGAGGGGGGGAGAAGGUUAAUAUAUAUAAAAUACACUAAGGUAAAACUUAUGCAAUAUAAAAUAUUAAAUAAAAUAAAUAAAAUUAAACUGAUACAAAUAAAGAAAUACAUAUGUAUACUAUAUACAUUAAGUUACACUUUGUACUACCAUGCCUAAGUAUAUGUAUAAAUCUUAAAUAUGCAUUAGGGAAGCCCAUUGACCCAGGAUAACUUCUGGUAAGUUAUCAUUAAUAAUAGACCUAGUUCUCUUUGCUUGUAAUAUUUCAAUAGUUUCUGCAUAUCUUAUUUCUUGCACAUUGUCCAAGGCU
rnacentral:lncRNA from 1 species